rnacentral:misc_RNA from 1 species
AAGCGAUCUCUUGGAAGAGGACAAGGACAGUUGCCUUUUCCCAUUAAAGCAGAAUCCUCUGAAGCGAGGCCUUUGGUUCAAAGCGAAUGUUCUUCUAAGAAGAAAGCAAGAUGUUGUCCCGUUGGUCGCAGCAGCUGCUGCCAUCACUCUGGCGGCCGCCAUUUGACGUCGGUGAAGUAAACGGAAAUGGAGAUUGGGAGAUACUAAUUUGUUCCGUAGUCUCUGAUAG